rnacentral:rRNA from 1 species
AUGGUAAAACGAGGGCUUAGCUGUCUUCUUUUUUAUGUCAAUGAAAUUGAUUUUCUCGUGCAAAAGCGAGGAUAACCUCAUAAGACGAGAAGACCCUGUGAAGCUUUAGAUAAUGUACAGAUUUGGUCAAGGACCCCCUGAUAAGGGAUUUAGUUACUGACUUCUGUUUUAUUGUCUUCGGUUGGGGCGACCACGGGGAGUCAUACAACCCCCGCGUGGAGUGGGUACAAGAGUAUUUUUGUCCUUAGAAUUAAGAGCUUCUGCUCUAAAAAACAGAAUUUCUGACCUUGUAAGAUCCGGCAGUGCCGAUUAACGGACCAAGUUACUCCAGGGAUAACAGCGCCAUCCUCUUUCAGAGUUCUUAUCGACAAGGGGGUUUACGACCUCGAUGUUGGAUCAGGACAUCCUAAUGGUGCAGUCGCUAUUAAGGGUUCGUUUGUUCAACGAUUAAUAGUCCUACGUGAUCU